AGAGUUUGAUCCUGGCUCAGGAUUAACGCUGGCGGCGUGCCUAAUACAUGCAAGUCGAACGGAAGUACCUUCGGGUACUUUAGUGGCGAACGGGUGAGUAAUACAUAGGUAACCUACCCUUAAGACGAGGAUAGCCAUUGGAAACGAUGGAUAAAACUGGAUAGGAUAUAGAGGAAGAAUCUUUUAUAUUUAAGAGAGAGAUCUGCUUAAGGAGGGGCCUGUGGCGCAUUAGCUAGUUGGUGGGGUAAGGGCCUACCAAGGCGAUGAUGCGUAGCCGGACUGAGAGGUUGAACGGCCACAAUGGAACUGAGAACGGUCCAUACUCCUACGGGAGGCAGCAGUAGGGAAUUUUCGGCAAUGGGGGGAACCCUGACCGAGCAACGCCGCGUGAACGAAGAAGUUAUUCGUAAUGUAAAGUUCUUUUAUCAGGGAAGAAAGAGGAAUUUGACGGUACCUGAGGAAUAAGCUCCGGCUAACUACGUGCCAGCAGCCGCGGUAAUACGUAGGGAGCGAGCGUUAUCCGGAAUUAUUGGGCGUAAAGGGUGCGUAGAUGGCAUAGUAAGUCUUUUGUAAAAAUGCUGGGCUCAACCCAGUAGGGCAAAAGAUACUGCAAAGCUAGAGUAUGACAGAGGCAAGUGGAACUACAUGUGUAGCGGUAAAAUGCGUAAAUAUAUGUAAGAACACCAGUGGCGAAGGCGGCUUGCUGGGUCGAUACUGACAUUGAGGCACGAAAGCGUGGGGAGCAAACAGGAUUAGAUACCCUGGUAGUCCACGCCCUAAACGAUGAGUACUAAGUGUUGGUGAGAAUCAGUGCUGAAGUUAACGCUUUAAGUACUCCGCCUGAGUAGUACGUACGCAAGUAUGAAACUUAAAGGAAUUGACGGGAGCCCGCACAAGCGGUGGAGCAUGUUGUUUAAUUCGACGAUACGCGAAGAACCUUACCAGGUCUUGACAUAGCACGCGAAGGCGUAGAGAUACGUUGGAGGAUAGCGUGCAUACAGGUGGUGCAUGGUUGUCGUCAGCUCGUGUCGUGAAAUGUUGGGUUAAGUCCCGCAACGAGCGCAACCCUUAUUUCUAGUUACCAGCAGUAAGAUGGGGACUCUAGAGAGACUGCCAUUGAUAAAAUGGAGGAAGGUGGGGAUGACGUCAAAUCAUCAUGCCCUAUAUGACCUGGGCUACAAACGUGCUACAAUGGCUGAAACAAAGAGAAGCGAGCCCGCGAGGGGGAGCGAACCUCAAAAAAGCAGUCUCAGUUCGGAUUGAAGUCUGCAACUCGACUUCAUGAAGAUGGAAUCGCUAGUAAUCGCGAAUCAGAAUGUCGCGGUGAAUACGUUCUCGGGCUUUGCACUCACCGCCCGUCAA
rnacentral:rRNA from 1 species